CGGGAUGCUGACGAGUGGCGAACGGGUGAGUAAUACAUCGGAACGUGCCCAGUAAUGGGGGAUAGCCCGGCGAAAGCCGGAUUAAUACCGCAUACGCCCUGAGGGGGAAAGUGGGGGACCGCAAGGCCUCACGUUAUUGGAGCGGCCGAUGGCUGAUUAGCUAGUUGGUAGGGUAAAGGCCUACCAAGGCGACGAUCAGUAGCUGGUCUGAGAGGACGAUCAGCCACACUGGGACUGAGACACGGCCCAGACUCCUACGGGAGGCAGCAGUGGGGAAUUUUGGACAAUGGGGGCAACCCUGAUCCAGCAAUGCCGCGUGUGCGAAGAAGGCCUUCGGGUUGUAAAGCACUUUUGUCCGGGAAGAAAUCCCUUGGGAUAAUACCUCAGGGGGAUGACGGUACUGGAAGAAUAAGCACCGGCUAACUACGUGCCAGCAGCCGCGGUAAUACGUAGGGUGCAAGCGUUAAUCGGAAUUACUGGGCGUAAAGCGUGCGCAGGCGGUUGUGUAAGACAGGUGUGAAAUCCCCGGGCUUAACCUGGGAAUUGCAUUUGUGACUGCACGGCUAGAGUGCGUCAGAGGGGGGUGGAAUUCCACGUGUAGCAGUGAAAUGCGUAGAUAUGUGGAGGAACACCAAUGGCGAAGGCAGCCCCCUGGGAUGACACUGACGCUCAUGCACGAAAGCGUGGGGAGCAAACAGGAUUAGAUACCCUGGUAGUCCACGCCCUAAACGAUGUCAACUAGUUGUUGGGGAUUUAUUUCCUUGGUAACGUAGCUAACGCGUGAAGUUGACCGCCUGGGGAGUACGGUCGCAAGAUUAAAACUCAAAGGAAUUGACGGGGACCCGCACAAGCGGUGGAUGAUGUGGAUUAAUUCGAUGCAACGCGAAAAACCUUACCUACCCUUGACAUGGCAGGAACUUUCCAGAGAUGGAUUGGUGCUCGAAAGAGAACCUGCACACAGGUGCUGCAUGGCUGUCGUCAGCUCGUGUC
rnacentral:rRNA from 1 species